rnacentral:rRNA from 1 species
UUCUGGUUGAUCCUGCCAGAGGCGACCGCUAUUGGAGUUCGAUUAAGCCAUGCGAGUAGAAAGAAAUUAGAUUCUUUGCAUACUGCUCAGUAACACGUGGAUAACCUGCCCUACACUGGGGGAUAAUCUCGGGAAACUGAGGAUAAUACCCCAUAGACCACUACGCCUGGAACGGUGAGUGGUUGAAAGCUCAGGCGGUGUAGGAUGGGUCUGCGGCGUAUCAGGUCGUAGGGGGUGUAAUGGACCUCCUAGCCAUCGACGCGUACGGGUUGUGGGAGCAAUAGCCCGGAGACGGAUUCUGAGACACGAAUCCGGACCCUACGGGGUGCAGCAGGCGCGAAAACUUCACACUGCAGGAAACUGUGAUGAGGGAACUCCAAGUGACUGCACAUUGUGUAGCCUUUUCUUGAAUCUUAAUAGUUCUUGGAAUAAGGGCUGGGAAAGACCGGUGCCAGCCGCCGCGGUAAUACCGGCAGCUCGAGUGGUCGUCGCUUUUAUUGGGCCUAAAACGUCCGUAGCCUGUUUGGUAAAUCUGUGGGUAAAUCAACGAGCUCAACUCGUUGAAUUCUGCAGAGACUGCCAGACUAGGGACCGGGAGAGGUAUGAGGUACUCUGGGGGUAGGGGUAAAAUCCUGUCAUCCUCAGAGGACCACCUGUUGCGAAGGCGUCAUACUGGAACGGAUCCGACGGUCAGGGACGAAGCCUAGGGGCACGAACCGGAUUAGAUACCCGGGUAGUCCUAGGUGUAAACGCUGUGGAUUUGGUGUGUGGGGUCCGCAAUGGGCCCCAUGUGCCGGAGUGAAGAUGUUAAAUCCACUGCCUGGGGAGUACGGUCGCAAGGCUGAAACUUAAAGGAAUUGGCGGGGGAGCACUGCAACGGGAGGAGCGUGCGGUUUAAUUGGACUCAACGCCGGGA